rnacentral:rRNA from 1 species
AUGAGGACUAAUCUGUCUCUUACGGACCAACCAAUGAAAUUAAUCUUUCAGUACAAAAGCUGAAAUAAAAACAUAAGACGAGAAGACCCUGUGGAGCUUCAAACCAAAAACACCCUGCAUGCUCCUCAGGUUUUUAGUUGGGGCGACUUCGGAGCACAAUAAAACCUCCAAAAUCUUUAUCUUCAAGAUUAACAAACCAAAAACUUUAUUAGACCCAGCAAUGUAUAACAUUGUCUGACCACUGAACCAAGUUACCCCAGGGAUAACAGCGCCAUCCCCUCCUAGAGUCCAUAUCAACAAGGGGGUUUACGACCUCGAUGUUGGAUC